GUUGGACUUUUGGCUUGAAUCAUACAUGUUCUAAAAGUAACCCCUUACACAUACUCUAGAGGCAGCCCUAAUAGAGUUAGUGGUGCCUCAAAUAAAACUGUGGUAGAAUCAAGUAAGAUGUUUCUUGAGUCUGCAGAUGAUGCCUUCCGUACCUGGAGUAAGGAAAUGUCUGUUUAUGUCUCCCCAGGAAAAGUCACACAACAACCAUCAUUCUCUGAAAUUCCCUCAUCUGGAGACGUGUCAUCCCAGUCACCAAGCUUUCUUUACCUGACAUCUCCCUCUAAGCCUCUAUGUCUCCUCUGCUUUGCAUAUUCAUGUACAUCUGGACAACAAGAACCAUCCUGUUGA
rnacentral:lncRNA from 1 species